CUUGUGUCAGCAAAUGGGAUUCUUAUGACUACUUUUUAUCAUUUAGGGGAGGUGCUGUUGGAGAAACUAGUAGCUAAUUGAGUUGCAAAGACAACACAGCUUUUUGUAGAGUAGUUACUUCUUAUUUAACUGAUAUAAUACUCAAUUGGAACAUGCAUGCUAGAUAUCACAGUCCGGUAAACGGGAAUAGAUCUAGUUCAAUGGGGACAGGGGGUGUGGAUGCUGCACCCGGGCGAUUCGUGAGAGGUGGUGGUGAAUACAGAAAUUAUAGCCAGGUGGCUUUUGGGCGUGGUCAGUCAAAGCAGUUUGCACUGCCACAUGGAAAUGAAAUUUUCGUGGAAGCUGGACGGCUAGCGGCUGAGUACCUUGUUUCCAAAGGAGUGCUGCCACCGGGUGCUCUUUCUGGGAAAUAUCAAAACGGUAGCUUAAAGAACAUGGUUGGGGAAUUUCAGGGAUUUAGGUCACAGGAGGCUGAUUUUAUGUGGGAAGGUCGAAUAUCAUCUCUUCCUCAUUUGGGGAAUGCUGCAGGUGGUGUAGGCCAUGGUAGGAAAAGUUCUCCUGAUGAAUAUAACUCAGUGGGUUCAAGAAGCUUUAUGACAGAAGGGAGAAGAAAUGGGACCGUUAAAAAUUAUGGCUCUGAGUUCAAUCGAGAAUUAGGAAGAAUUGGAUCGUGGAAUAGAGCCAGGAACUCUCCUGAUGUAGAUGGUCAAGAUAAUGCUUUUUUUGGGAAUAGCGAUGAACAGCAAGUAGCUAAGAAUAGUGAUGGGGUGUUGCGAAAUUCCCCUCCCAGGAAAAUAAAUCCUGAGAUUGAUAGUUCAGGGUACUCGCUGGUUGAUUCAGAGCCUGCAGGCCAAAACAAGGCAGGGGGUGAUGCGGGUAAAAAGGCAAGUCCUAUUAGCACUGGCAGUAAUCUUCCAUCAGAGGAUGAUGCAGGUAAAAAGGCAAGUCCUAUUAGCGCUGGAACUAAUCUUCCCUCAGAGGAUGAACAACAACUUAAUGAGAAGUCUGUUGAAAUGGAAGCCUCCAAAAUAGAAGUUGAUCAGGUUGAUGUUUACAGCGAUAAUGGUGAUUUGGAGAGAAAAGCUGUCAAGGAGGACAUAGAAGUUAAGCUGUGUGCUGAAGAACAUAAGCAGAUUAGAAAGAAUAGUAAUGAUUUACUUAGUCUAUGGAGGUUUGAGCAUGUUCCCAAGAAAACUCGCUCUUCAUUGGCAAAUAGAGUUCUGAAGGUUUGUGAUAAUGCAGUCAUCGAAGAUGAGAACACCCGUGAGAUAGAGCUAUCUAAGGAUCCUCAAACACAUUCAGAACUGAACCAUGUGGAUGUUUCCGCUGGUGUAAUUUCAUCUCCUCAUAGUCAUGAUGCAAGAAACCUUGAUUCUGGCAAGUCGGAACCUCUUUAUUUGGAGGUAGAAUCAUGUUCUUCUCACGUCGUUAAACAGGUAGAUGAGACGGGUUCCUCAUCUCUUGGAGACAGCUUGGUAGUAAAGGAGGAUGAAACAAUUGAGAAAUUACCUGGAUUUGAAAGUUGCAAUUUUAUUAACUUGGAAAGAGGUGAGAAACGAGCAUUAGAGCAUGAUGAUGAUUGUACAGGGGGAACUAAGAAACCUAGAGAAUUGGCUUCAUCAAUGUGUACUCUCUCAGAUGGUAUUCUGUACCAUUCUAAUUCCAUGGAUGACUGGCCGAAUUCACAGGAACCAGGGUCUUCGCAUGGUGAGGGGGUGAUGUUGUCAUCAGAUGAAAAGACGGUGGUUGAAAUUCCUCUGAUUACCAAGAGUGUUGUGGAGCCAGGCACCGAGUUUACAGGAAUACAACUUUUUCCAGACUCCUUGAAAACUUGUGACCUCAAUCUUUUGGAAGCUUCUGAUGUGAAUGAGACUCAAAAUGCUGAUCCUGUUCAUUUCUUCCCAGGGAUAGCUGGAAGUGUAAAACAAGAAGCACCAGUUGAUAUUGAUCUGACCAUGAGCAGUAACUGCAAUACAGCUAAUAAAUAUGCUAAAUCUGCCUUUGAUCAUAUUGACAUUGAGGUGAUUGAUUUGAAAAAUGAUUCUGAACAAGAAGACAAGUCUUUGAAUAAUCCAGAGACAAGGUCUGAAGUUGUAUUUACGGGAUCAGAUGGUUUUCCUAAUAACCCCCAUGGUACCGACGAUAUUCCUGAUGUUCAGGAUGGUUAUGGACAGAUGAUAUCAGAAUUGCUUGGGAAUGAUAUACCAAGCUGUUCUUCUGUACCAGCAAAUAUGAAUUCCUUGCACAGCGGUAUAGGCCUGCAUAAUGGAGAGGGAAUGCUUGAAGAUGAUGAUUCAAUAUAUAUGUCUUUGGGAGAAAUACCGAUAAAAAAAAAGGUGUCAAAAAGAUGGGGAAAUUGAUUGAUGAUUAUAGGAUCAGUAAGCAAUAAGGAAAUCCAUGGUGAUGAGAGUGACCUUGGGCUUUUGAAACGAGGAUGUGUUUUGCUGAAUGACGCGUAGUUUAGCUUCUUCAGUUCAUUGAUGUUCUGCUCCACAGCCAUACACAUGUACAAUAGUUUGUACGACGUGCCUGCUUUCUGAGGGCCUGGGAGCAGCAGACACAAGAAUUUGGGAAGCCAUUUUAAGCUAUGACUUCAACGGGUUUUCAUAAAAUAUGUUAUGCAAUAAUCAUCUGUAUGACUAAUUUUAGUCGUCAAACUACAGCAACUUCAUGUAUAUUUCAUGGCUUAUGGAAGAUCCUCACUUCCAGCUGAUGUAAGUACUGAUCCCCCAUCCCCUUCUUUCUAGAAGGGAGGUAGUCAAAUGUAUUUUCUACUCCUUUUUCUGUUUCA